AGUUUUAUGAUUAUAAACAUAAACAUAUAAGCCUCAUAUGAAAAAGGCUUAUAUAUAUAUCUGCAUGAGCCCUUUUCAUAUAUAUAUAUAUGUCUAAGGGACUGUGAGCAGAAGCUCCAGUGGUCACCAGAGCCAGGCAAAGUGGAUGUGUCUCUUGGGUGGCAGUUGCAAAAACCAGGGCACCAGGCGUACACCCAGCUGCAGAUGCGCGUGACAAGGUAUCUUGGGUGAUGAGGGCGCUCCCGCGGGAAGGAGGGAGCGCGCGAACAUGGCGCCUUCCAGUCUCUGCUUCUGGGACGCUCCCCACAGGUCCCCAAAUGAGUGUUAGAUGAAAUGCCUGCCCCUCUAGGCUGAAGCUCCAAGAGGAGCAAGUGAACGUCUCCCAGGCAAAGUCCAGGAGCUUCUCCGUCCGCCGCUUGGAAGCGGGAACUGCGAGGUCCGCAUGCCUCAGACCUUGGUGUUUUGGGGACACCGUGUCUUGGCCUGCCCUUUCAUCAUUCUGUAGACACUGCUGAUGCUGCUCCUUGAGGAGGCCAGGGUUUAUGCCUUUCACAGCAACAGGACCUUUCACUCUGGGGAAAGACAGCUGCCAUGUCGUGAGGACACUCAACCAAUCUACAGCAAGGUCCACAUGGUGAGUAACGCGGCUUCCUGCCAACAGCUGUGUGAUCGAGUAACUUGGAAGCAAACACUGAGAACUCUGGCUCUUAUUUAAAAGCCCGUGAGUAAUUACCAAGGCUUUAACUGGCAGGUCUGAUGGGAGAAAGCUGCCCUCUCUGGGCCAGACCUGUGUACAACUAGUGCAUUACAGCCUGUGAAGAGAGCUGCAGUCAGCCAUUCAGGUUUCCUGGCCAGUCAUAUUCUUCACAUAUUUGAUUUCUUGGUUUUGAUGGGCACCCGCAUUCUGAGGUCUCUUUAUCUGAGGUCAUCUCCAGGUACCUCUGCUGAGGCCUCUUUACUGGGGGGAGGAGGAGGAAGAAAUCUUGAAUUCACCGAGGACGGUGUUAGGAAGGCUUCUCUAAGGAAGUAAUAAGUGAACUCAGAUCUAAAUGAUACUAAGAGCUAACUAGAUGAAAUAGGAACUUGUGAAUAGGUAAAAGGGGUCUUAGCCUAAGGAGUAGCAUGUACUCACCCAGAAUUCUGGCCUCAUGACUGUGAGGCUUCAUAAUGUAAGUAGGGAGAAAAGCAAGAUGAACUAAAAUCAUCUCCAGAACGCUGACCUAGGCACUGACCCCAGUGUGCUUGCUUUUUGGAAGCAGGAGGUGCACAAUGCAUCCUGUUUCUUAGCAGGAAGAGUCUAAAGAGUGAGAAGAAAAGGCUGAAUUGUAUAUAUUCAGUUCUUUUCUCAAUCUUACCCUUAAGAGUGACAUACCUUUUCACUAGAGGGGGCAGAUAAGGGAAAACAGCUCCACCAAUGGACCACAUAGGGCCUUAGUGAGGUUGUAUUUUUCCACGUGUUGUUACAAUGAUCAGCAUCCUGAGGACAUUUUAUAGGUCAUAAAAUCAGCAAGUGUUAACUGUGAUAAUUUGGACACCAGUGAUUUGGGCUCUUGGCAGGGCAAAAAAACAUGAAGCUUUUGAUGAAUAAGAUUAUGGACAUGGUCCUUGAUCAGGAGCAGAUGGUUAAAUUUGUUGCUGUAAUCAGUUUGUCUUCAAUUCAAUGCCGAUUUAUUUGUGGUCAUUUCAUUGUUUUCUCCACUGAGACAUUAAAAGACUAGUAAUUAACUUGAAGGAAAAAAGAAAAGUGUGAAUUCCAUAAAAGUACCUUCAUUAAGUUCUUUAUAUUCUCUUCUUCAUCUGUCAUGAUAGUACAUUGAACUACGUAUUCCUUAUAUCUGUUUAACAAAUGUGUAUUCGAGAACUACUGUGUGUUGAGCUGUGUACUAAAUCUAGUGAACAGAAUGCUGGGAAAAACAGAAAAAACAUUAUUUCUGAAGUCAAAAAGCUUAUACUCUACUAAAGAAACAAAUAUCAAUAGAAUAAUUCCAAAAAAGUAAAUGUAAAAUUAUACUUGUAAUAGCUGCUAAGAACAGAUGCAUGGUACUGUGGUAGCCACUAAGAAGGGAUUUGACUUAGAUGGGGAGUAGAAAAGACUUCUCUCAAGAAAUAGUAUUUAAGCUGAAAUCUGAGAGGCAAGUAGUAAUACCUGAGGCCAGAAGAGUGGAGAUAGGAAGGAGAUUUUCCAGCCUGAGAAAAUAGCUUGUGUGACUGCCACCUGGCCGCAGGCAGUGUGGUUAAACAUAAGGGGUGGAUGAGGCCUCUUGUGUCUAUACCCAAUUCAGAAUGUGAGUGACUGUUCAUCUGACUUUUUCAAACAUCAUAUUUUCCUGGACAAAACAACAAAUGGAUGCUGGAGUUGGGAAUUUAUUUGCCUGAAGUAUUCAAUUAGGGUAAUGCUAGCUAUCGAAACAAGGAAAUUAAAAUUCCAGUGGCUUAACAUAAUAGAGUUUUCUUUCUAUUCCUGAACAAGUAUACUGGGAUGUACUGUUUGGUGGUGGCUUUGGGGUGUUUCAGGGACUCAGGCACCUUCCAUCUUGCAGCUCCACCAUCUACUAGGCUCCAACAGGUGGAGGGAGGCAGCAAAGAGUGUACAACUGCUUCUGUUAUAAAUGCAGGCUCAGAAGUAAUACACACAUUUAUUGGUGUGAAUUAGUCAUGGGAUUGGACUUUUAUGCAAAGGGCUUCUGGGGAAUGUACUCAUUGCCUGGGAAGAUGCCUCUGGGAAAUACCUACUGUAUUCUAGAAUAGGGAACAUAAUUUUCUGUGUGGACAGCUAACAUCUUUACCGCACGUACUGAAUGAAUGCAAAUUGCUGAUUAGUUAUGCAAAUAUACUCCAACUUUGAAUUUCACCGCUCUCUGGGAAAUUAUGUAACAUUUUCAAAACAACGUGUUGAUUUUUUAUUACUCAAUGAAUUUCUUACAUUUGUAGUUGUACAAUGAUUGGCACAAUCCAAUUUUAUAGGAUUUCCAUCCCAUAACCCCAGCACAUCCCU